rnacentral:rRNA from 1 species
GACGGAGGGUGCAAGCGUUGUUCGGAAUUACUGGGCGUAAAGCGCGCGUAGGCGGCUUUGCAAGUCGAGUGUGAAAUCCCCAGGCUUAACCUGGGAACUGCAUUCGAGACUGCAUAGCUAGAGUAUGGGAGAGGGAAGUGGAAUUUCAGGUGUAGCGGUGAAAUGCGUAGAUAUCUGAAGGAACAUCAGUGGCGAAAGCGACUUCCUGGACCAAUACUGACGCUCAUGUGCGAAAGCGUGGGGAGCAAACAGG